CCCCUCCCAGGGUCACACCUGGAGAGUUUCCAGUAUUCUACCAGUCUCGACUAUCGGAUGGAAAGUCAAGCAAAGGUAUAUCCAUUCCAUUCCUAGCUUGGGCAGUGGCUAGCAAGUGGGAGGCAAUCUGCUACAAGU